UAGAGUUUGAUCCUGGCUCAGGAUGAACGCUAGCGGGAGGCUUAACACAUGCAAGUCGAGGGGUAAGGCAUCUUCGGAUGUACACGACCGGCGCACGGGUGAGUAACGCGUAUGCAACCUGCCUCAAACAGGGGAAUAGCCCAGAGAAAUUUGGAUUAAUGCCCCAUAACAUUCAGAAUUCGCAUGUUUUCUGAAUUAAAGCUCCGGCGGUUUGAGAUGGGCAUGCGUGACAUUAGCUUGUUGGUAAGGUAACGGCUUACCAAGGCAACGAUGUCUAGGGGGUCUUAAAGGAUGAUCCCCCACACUGGUACUGAGACACGGACCAGACUCCUACGGGAGGCAGCAGUGAGGAAUAUUGGUCAAUGGGCGCAAGCCUGAACCAGCCAUCCCGCGUGUAGGAUGAAAGCGCUAUGCGUUGUAAACUACUUUUGUAUGAGAAGAAACUUUUGUACGUGUACAGAACUGACGGUAUCAUACGAAUAAGCAUCGGCUAACUCCGUGCCAGCAGCCGCGGUAAUACGGAGGAUGCAAGCGUUAUCCGGAUUUAUUAGGUUUAAAGGGUGUGUAGGCGGAGCAGUAAGUCAGUGGUGAAAUCCUGCGGCUUAACCGUAGAACUGCCAUUGAAACUACUGCCCUUGAGUACAGUUGAGGUAGGCGGAAUGUGUCAUGUAGCGGUGAAAUGCAUAGAGAUGACACAGAACACCGAUUGCGUAGGCAGCUUACUAAACUGUCACUGACGCUGAGGCACGAAAGCGUGGGGAGCGAACAGGAUUAGAUACCCUGGUAGUCCACGCCGUAAACGAUGAUCACUCGUUGUUAGCAAUAUAGGGUUAGCGACUGAGCGAAAGCAUUAAGUGAUCCACCUGGGGAGUACGUUGGCAACAAUGAAACUCAAAGGAAUUGACGGGGGCCCGCACAAGCGGAGGAACAUGUGGUUUAAUUCGAUGAUACGCGAGGAACCUUACCUGGGCUUAAAUGUAGAACGACGUAUCGGGAAACUGGUCUUUUCUUCGGGACUCUUUACAAGGUGCUGCAUGGUUGUCGUCAGCUCGUGCCGUGAGGUGUCGGGUUAAGUCCCAUAACGAGCGCAACCCCUAUUGUUAGUUGCUAGCAGGUAAUGCUGAGGACUCUAACGAGACUGCCGGUGUAAACCGUGAGGAAGGUGGGGAUGACGUCAAAUCAGCACGGCCCUUAUGUCCAGGGCGACACACGUGUUACAAUGGCCAGUACAAAGGGCAGCUACAUGGCGACAUGAUGCUAAUCCCUAAAACUGGUCUCAGUUCGGAUUGAAGUCUGCAACUCGACUUCAUGAAGUUGGAUUCGCUAGUAAUCGCGCAUCAGCCAUGGCGCGGUGAAUACGUUCCCGGGCCUUGUACACACCGCCCGUCAAGCCAUGGAAGCUGGGGGUACCUGAAGUCCGUAACCGUAAGGAGCGGCCUAGGGUAAAACCGGUGACUGGGGCUAAGUCGAAACAAGGUAACC
rnacentral:rRNA from 1 species